UGUACUGCCGUUGCAAGCACACCUUUAAAAGAAUAGUGUGCUAUCAUGAUUAUACUGACCUCACACACAUCAGGUCAAAGUGCAGCUAAUGAGAAGGUGAUGAUGGGUUACAACCUUAAAAUAGACUAUCAAUUAAAAGAUUAAAACCUAUUACGAAAGUGGACUUGGCCGUAACCGAUUAUAAAAUAAAGAAAUGAAUAUUAUCUAAGACAUGCACACAUCGCCCGUCACUCUACCCUAAAGGGUAGAUAAGUCGUAACAAAGUAGGUGUAAUGGAAAUUGCACCUGUCGAAGUAUAGCAUAUAAAAUGCUUUUUACUUACACUAAAAACAAAGUUAAACAACUUGCUUCGCCCACAUGAAGACAAUCAUAUAAAUUACAAGUGAUAGAAACAACUAAAUACCAAAUUACAUAGUACAGAAAUGGAAAAAUUAAUAAAAUAAAGUAACUAUUAACUAAUAUACCUCGUGCAUUAUGGUUUUACAAGAAAAUAAUUAAAUAUUUAUAUCCCGAAUUCUUAAUGAGCUGAUAAACUGCUGUUAUGAACCCAUUAAUAACUGUGGAAAAAGUUUUAAAAGACAGUUAAUCAGAGGCUACAUACCAUACGCAUAAGAAUAUAGCUGGUUUUCAACAAACAUUAUACAUUAAAACAUAUAGUAGCAUUAUAGUGUAACAUUAUUGAGGAUAAGCCCAAUAACCAAAUGCAAUCAAUAAUCCAUUCCAACUAAAUUUAAUAGGCUUAAAAUCAGCCAACUAAAAUACCUUACCGUAAUAAAAAUUGGUAAAUAUACAUAUAUUUAAUAUGCUGAAAAAAGUUGAAAUAGUGAACAAA
rnacentral:rRNA from 1 species